CUGUUCGCCAUUUAAAGUGGUACGCGAGCUGGGUUCAGAACGUCGUGAGACAGUUCGGUCCCUAUCUGUCGUGGGCGUUGGAGAUUUGAGAGGGGCUGCUCCUAGUACGAGAGGACCGGAGUGGACGAACCUCUGGUGUUCCGGUUGUCACGCCAGUGGCACUGCCGGGUAGCUACGUUCGGAAGCGAUAACCGCUGAAAGCAUCUAAGCGGGAAGCGCGCCUCAAGAUGAGAUCUCCCGGGGCACAAGCCCCCUAAAGGAACCAUCAAGACUAGGUGGUUGAUAGGCAGGGUGUGUAAGCGCAGUAAUGUGUUGAGCUAACCUGUACUAAUGAUCCGUGUGGCUUGACCAU
rnacentral:rRNA from 1 species